GGAGAUCUCAUAUUGAUUAGAGAUAAAGCGAUUUUAUAGUAUAUUAGUGGGUGCAAACCUCAUCUUACAAGUCGAUUUUUGUAGGAUUGAGUUAGACUUAAAGUUUUCUUCUUAACAUGGCAUCAAAAUCAUGGUUUAGAGUUUAUCCUAAUGAGAUUUAUUGUUUGUUCGACUUAUUGUAUCACCCACUAUCAGAAAAUUUGUUUUUUAUGUCUAUCAUGUUACCCACUAUCAGACCACCCCUU
rnacentral:lncRNA from 1 species